AUAAGACUCAAAAAUGAACAAACUUGAUAGUUCAUUUCCCCAGGUGGUCAGAAGAGAUGUAGCAUCUGACAACAAUGAGAAAAGGCUAUAGAAUAAAACUAUUCAGAGAACAAUAAAUAAAUAAAUAAAUAAAUAAAUAAAUAAAUAAAUAAAAAUUGCUCUUUGAAGUUAAAUAGUAAAUUCUCAGAAAAAAGUCUGGAAGAUAAAUUUGAAGCAAUCUUCCAGAAAGUCAAUCAAAAAUAAAGAAAUGGAAAAUGGAAGAGAAAAGGAAAAUAUUAGAAUUCAGGAGGCCCAACACUCUAGUAAGCAGGAGCUCUAGAAAGAGAGACUGCAAAAAGAUAGGGUAGGGUAUUUUUGAAGAAAAAUUCCUUAAAUAGAGGAUAUGAGUUUGUAGUUUGAGAGAGCUCACUUAUGUCCUGCGUGAUGCCUGCAAUGACAAAAACUCAGGUGUGCCAUUGUGAAAUUUCAGAACCUUGGAGAUAAAAAUCCUGCAAAUUCCUAGAGAUUAAAAAUAUACAAAAGAUCCGGAAUCAGAAAAGCACCAGGCUUUUCACCUGCCACAUGGAAAGUCAGUGGAGCAAUCCUUUCAAAAUUCAGAUGGAAAAUUGUUUCAAAUCUUGAUUUCUGUUCUCUGCCAAAUUUUCUAACAAGUGUGAAGGCAGAAUAAAGACAUUGCAGAUAUGCAAGUUUAAAAAUUUUUUACCUCCUUUUCAGGAAAAUACUGGAGAAUGGAUUCCACAAAAUAAGGAUAGAAACCGAGAAGAAGAUCACAUAGGAUCCAGGAAACAGGACUUGAACCAGGAAAAAGGCAAGGGGAUGUCCAGAACCCCUCCCCCUCUGCACGUGUGGGAUGCCUGGACGCUGAAUCACAAGCGGAGCGGCCCGGACUCCUGCCCACUGCCCUCAACUUGUUUGCUGAGCUCCGCUCCAGGGGCCUUUCUGCUGUGCGGAGGCUCCCCUCCCUGCGCAGUGUGUUUGCUGAACCCGGCAGUCUCAGAAGGGCGGAGAAUUGAAUGUUUUUCUGCCCAAGCCCAGCUUCAGAGAGGACGGGGCUCGUGCUAAGAAUCAGCGGGUAUUUAUCAUGGCUCAGGUGGCUGAGGUUUAUUUUCCUCAAUGGUAGUUUUUGGAAAUAUUUGGAAAUACUUACUUAGUUUCACUUGUGUGAUGUGAAGGCUCUUUCAGUUUGGUUUUCUGAAUCCCUCUUCUAAAAGAGAAGUUACCCUAACGGGGAAACAUAAUUAGAUUUUGGUAUUAUGCACUAUUUUUUUAAUGCUGUCUUUUUUAGUAUGAAGUAAAAUUUACAUGUAGUGAAAUGAACAUAACUAAAUCCUAAAUUGUGAGUUUUGAUAACUAUAUACACACAUGUAGUCAUUACCCAAAUCACGAUAAAGAAUGUUUCCAUCACUCCCAGGAAGUUCUCCUGUUCUUCCUUUUACUCAUCUUUACCCCUUCAAAAACUUCUCUUAAUUCUAUCACUGUAGCUUAGUUUCCAUGUUCCUAAACUUCAUAUGGGUGAAAUCAGAUAGAAUGUAUCUUUUUUUUGUGUCUCGUUUCUUUUGUUCAACAUGUUUUUGACAUUAUUCUAUUGUGUUGUGUUCUUUUCUAUUGCUGAGUACCAUUCCAUUACAUGAAUAUACAAUUUAUUUAUGUGUUCUCAUUUUGGUGACCAUUUCAGUUGUUCCUACACACUAAAUUUUAAUGUACGUAAACUGUUUAAAACACUUUAGAACUUUUCUUUAUACUGGAGAUUUUUCUUUAUGAAAUCAAAAUUAAAUUUCUGAUUACCUACAAAAUUGGAAUUAGAUUCUCUGUAUUCUGUAGACUCUGAUUCUUGGAAAGAUAGAUAUUUGAAUAUAAAAAAAAAAUGCAUCUUGAUGGUCCCUCAAUUCCCAUUCUGAGUCUUUAAAGCCACAUUAAAUAAUGCUAGAAUUUGAACUCUUCCUUUACAUAUUACUGUGUGAACAUUGAGCAGCUAAUUCACUCAAACACCUUUUUUAACACAAUUAUUUUUACUGUGUUUCAGAAUGAAAGUGGAGAAUAAAAUAGUUUGUGGGUAUUGUU